rnacentral:rRNA from 1 species
UACGUAGGCAGCGAGCGUUGUUCGGAGUUACUGGGCGUAAAGAGUGCGUAGGCGGUUUUCUAAGUUUGGUGUGAAAUCUCCCGCUUAACUGGGAGGGUGCGCCGAAAACUGGAAAGCUGGAGUGUGGGAGAGGUAAGCGGAAUUCCUGGUGUAGCGGUGAAAUGCGCAGAUAAUCAGGAGGAACACCGGUGGCGAAGGCGACUACCUGGCCUGUUCUUGACGCUGAGGCGCGAAAGCUAGGGGAGCAAACGGG